rnacentral:rRNA from 1 species
ACACGUAGGGGGCGAGCGUUGUUCGGAAUCAUUGGGCGUAAAGGGCGUGCAGGCGGUCCUGCAAGUCCGGCGUGAAAGACCCCGGCCCAACCGGGGGGACGCGCUGGAAACUGCAGGGCUUGAGUACAGGAGGGGAUGCCGGAAUUCCACGUGUAGGGGUGAAAUCUGUAGAUAUCUGGAAGAACACCAAUGGCGAAGGCAGGCAUCUGGCCAUGUACUGACGCUGAGACGCGAAGGUGCGGGGAGCAAACAGGUUUAGAUACCCUGGUAGUCCGCACAGUAAACGAUGUGCACCAGGUGGCGGGGGGUCGACCCCCGGUACCGUAGCUAACGCAUUAAGUGCACCGCCUGGGGAGUAUGCUCGCAAGAAUGAAACUCAAAUGAAUUGGCGGGG